GAUGAACGCUGGCGGCGUGCUUAACACAUGCAAGUCGAGCGAAGCGAUAAGGUGAAAUUUUUCGGAAUGAAGCCAUAUUGACUUAGCGGCGGACGGGUGAGUAACGCGUGGGUAACCUGCCUCAUACAGGGGGAUAACAGUUAGAAAUGACUGCUAAUACCGCAUAAGCGCACGGGACUGCAUGGUCCAGUGUGAAAAACCGAGGUGGUAUGAGAUGGACCCGCGUCUGAUUAGCUGGUUGGCGGGGUAACGGCCCACCAAGGCGACGAUCAGUAGCCGACCUGAGAGGGUGGCCGGCCACAUUGGGACUGAGACACGGCCCAA
rnacentral:rRNA from 1 species